AUUGAACGCUGGCGGCAGGCUUAACACAUGCAAGUCGAGCGGGGGAAGGUAGCUUGCUACCGGACCUAGCGGCGGACGGGUGAGUAAUGCUUAGGAAUCUGCCUAUUAGUGGGGGACAACAUCUCGAAAGGGAUGCUAAUACCGCAUACGUCCUACGGGAGAAAGCAGGGGAUCUUCGGACCUCGCGCUAAUAGAUGAGCCUAAGUCGGAUUAGCUAGUUGGUGGGGUAAAGGCCUACCAAGGCGACGAUCUGUAGCGGGUCUGAGAGGAUGAUCCGCCACACUGGGGCUGAGACACGGCCCAGACUCCUACGGGAGGCAGCAGUGGGGAAUAUUGGACAAUGGGGGGAACCCUGAUCCAGCCAUGCCGCGUGUGUGAAGAAGGCCUUAUGGUUGUAAAGCACUUUAAGCGAGGAGGAGGCUACUCUAGUUAAUACCUAGGGAUAGUGGACGUUACUCGCAGAAUAAGCACCGGCUAACUCUGUGCCAGCAGCCGCCGUAA
rnacentral:rRNA from 1 species